CACGUAGGUUAUCUCCCCUCGAGUGGUGGAUAACCCUCCGAAAGGAGGGCUAAUACAGCAUGAGACCACGAUCCUUUGGAUAGCGGUCAAAGCAGGCCUCUACAUGUAAGCUUGCGCUCAAGGAUGAGCCUGCGGCCCAUCAGCUAGUUGGUAAGGUAACGGCUUACCAAGGCUAAGACGGGUAGCUGGUCUGAGAGGAUGAUCAGCCACACUGGAACUGAGACACGGUCCAGACUCCUACGGGAGGCAGCAGUGGGGAAUAUUGCACAAUGGGCGAAAGCCUGAUGCAGCCAUGCCGCG
rnacentral:rRNA from 1 species